GGACUUCCUCUUUCAGAACAUACAAAUAGUUCUCAUGCUCGCUGGUUCUUCACAGCAGUUCAUAUCUCAAAUAUUGCAAUGGCUAGCCUGGGAAAAGAAUGAACAGGUGUUGCCCCUUUUAGAAAUUCCAGUGUCAGUUUCUGGUAAGGAGUGGCAGUUAACUUGAUCAACUGAAUAUCCAUGGGAUCAAGUCAUACCCAGAACGAGAUAGAACAACAAUGUUUGUCUCAAGGCUCAUUAGUUGAUUGGGGACUCAACAAAUCUGGACCACCAGCUUUGGUCUUCGGCUUGAGAUACUGCUAAUGCAUGGGGGAGGAACUGGUUAAUUUAUGUCGCCUUCAGGUAAAUGCUCUUGGAAUCUCAUUAAAAUACAUCAAAUCUUUGAUAUAUAGAAUCCUUAUCAUCUCAGGCAAUGCUAUGUUAAAGAAUUCCUUCUUUUUUCUGUCCUUUGUGGAUUGAGUUGACUAGAUGUCUUGCAUAGAUUAGAUUAAACGCAAGAUUUGGUUAAUGACUUAAGCAAGAUGCAAAGUAGACCUA